GAACGCUGGCGGCAGGCCUAACACAUGCAAGUCGAGCGGUUGACGGGAGCUUGCUCCCUGAUUCAGCGGCGGACGGGUGAGUAAUGCCUAGGAAUCUGCCUAUUAGUGGGGGACAACGUUUCGAAAGGAACGCUAAUACCGCAUACGUCCUACGGGAGAAAGCAGGGGACCUUCGGGCCUUGCGCUAAUAGAUGAGCCUAGGUCGGAUUAGCUAGUUGGUGAGGUAAUGGCUCACCAAGGCGACGAUCCGUAACUGGUCUGAGAGGAUGAACAGUCACACUGGAACUGAGACACGGUCCAGACUCCUACGGGAGGCAGCAGUGGGGAAUAUUGGACAAUGGGCGAAAGCCUGAUCCAGCCAUGCCGCGUGUGUGAAGAAGGUCUUCGGAUUGUAAAGCACUUUAAGUUGGGAGGAAGGGUUGUAGAUUAAUACUCUGCAAUUUUGACGUUACCGACAGAAUAAGCACCGGCUAACUCUGUGCCAGCAGCCGCGGUAAUACAGAGGGUGCAAGCGUUAAUCGGAAUUACUGGGCGUAAAGCGCGCGUAGGUGGUUUGUUAAGUUGGAUGUGAAAGCCCCGGGCUCAACCUGGGAACUGCAUCCAAAACUGGCAAGCUAGAGUACGGUAGAGGGUGGUGGAAUUUCCUGUGUAGCGGUGAAAUGCGUAGAUAUAGGAAGGAACACCAGUGGCGAA
rnacentral:rRNA from 1 species